AGAGUUUGAUCAUGGCUCAGGACGAACGCUGGCGGCGUGCUUAACACAUGCAAGUCGAACGAGAAUCUGCGGAAAGAGGAUUCGUCCAAUUGAAGCAGAGGACAGUGGCGGACGGGUGAGUAACGCGUGAGGAACCUGCCUUUCUGAGGGGGACAACAGUUGGAAACGACUGCUAAUACCGCAUGACACAUCGGAGUCGCAUGGCUCUGAUGUCAAAGAUUUAUCGCUGAAAGAUGGCCUCGCGUCUGAUUAGCUAGUUGGUGAGGUAACGGCCCACCAAGGCGACGAUCAGUAGCCGGACUGAGAGGUUGAACGGCCACAUUGGGACUGAGAUACGGCCCAGACUCCUACGGGAGGCAGCAGUGGGGAAUAUUGGGCAAUGGGCGCAAGCCUGACCCAGCAACGCCGCGUGAAGGAAGAAGGCUUUCGGGUUGUAAACUUCUUUUGUCAGGGACGAGUAGAAGACGGUACCUGACGAAUAAGCCACGGCUAACUACGUGCCAGCAGCCGCGGUAAUACGUAGGUGGCAAGCGUUGUCCGGAUUUACUGGGUGUAAAGGGCGUGUAGCCGGGAGGGCAAGUCAGAUGUGAAAUCCACGGGCUCAACUCGUGAACUGCAUUUGAAACUACUCUUCUUGAGUAUCGGAGAGGCAAUCGGAAUUCCUAGUGUAGCGGUGAAAUGCGUAGAUAUUAGGAGGAACACCAGUGGCGAAGGCGGAUUGCUGGACGACAACUGACGGUGAGGCGCGAAAGCGUGGGGAGCAAACAGGAUUAGAUACCCUGGUAGUCCACGCUGUAAACGAUGAAUACUAGGUGUGCGGGGACUGACCCCCUGCGUGCCGCAGCUAACGCAAUAAGUAUUCCACCUGGGGAGUACGAUCGCAAGGUUGAAACUCAAAGGAAUUGACGGGGGCCCGCACAAGCGGUGGAUUAUGUGGUUUAAUUCGAAGCAACGCGAAGAACCUUACCUGCUCUUGACAUCUCCCUGACCGGCAAGUAAUGUUGCCUUUCCUUCGGGACAGGGAUGACAGGUGGUGCAUGGUUGUCGUCAGCUCGUGUCGUGAGAUGUUGGGUUAAGUCCCGCAACGAGCGCAACCCCUAUCUUUAGUAGCCAGCGGUCAGGCCGGGCACUCUAGAGAGACUGCCAGGGAUAACCUGGAGGAAGGUGGGGAUGACGUCAAAUCAUCAUGCCCCUUAUGAGCAGGGCUACACACGUGCUACAAUGGCGUAAACAAAGGGAGGUAGAACCGCGAGGUCGAGCAAAUCCCAAAAAUAACGUCUCAGUUCGGAUUGUAGUCUGCAACUCGACUACAUGAAGCUGGAAUCGCUAGUAAUCGCGAAUCAGAAUGUCGCGGUGAAUACGUUCCCGGGUCUUGUACACACCGCCCGUCACACCAUGGGAGUCAGUAACGCCCGAAGUCAGUGACCCAACCGUAAGGAGGGAGCUGCCGAAGGUGGGACCGAUAACUGGGGUGAAGUCGUAACAAGGUA
rnacentral:rRNA from 1 species